rnacentral:lncRNA from 1 species
GACUUCUCUUGGUCUCCACUCAAGCUUGAGUGUUCUUUCCUUUCUCAAUCCUCACUAUCCAACUCAGGCAUGUUUGUGAUGUGACGGCCGGACUGCCACAAGUGGCGCCCGAACAGGGACCUGAGUAUCGAGGGAUCCAGUGAAGGACACCACAGAGAAGAAGGAGACCUCAACAAAAAGCAAUUCACACUGCUCUGAUUCUAAGCUCCAAUAUUCUCAGGAUUUGGGUGAUUGUUGUCACGUGUCCAGGGAGAAACAGUAUGCUGUUCAAAGUAACAAACAUCAUGUAUGUGACUGCUCUGGGGCUCCAACACGAGAGUUAAGGUUGCUAGUGACUGCAGUAGUCAGGUCCCCUGGGACCAUGGCAGCAACAGCCGCUGAGUACCUGGACGCAGAUCAGAAUGAAGUGAUUCCCAGAAAGGCAAUGCCCAGGCAGCCCUUCUCGAAUGGGGGCCCAGGACUCUCUUCUCAAAGGAAAGCUUGACGUUUUUAUGCCA